rnacentral:rRNA from 1 species
CCUACGGGAGGCUGCAGUAGGGAAUCUUCCACAAUGGGCGAAAGCCUGAUGGAGCAACGCCGCGUGGGUGAAGAAGGUCUUCGGAUCGUAAAACCCUGUUGUUAGAGAAGAAAGUGCGUGAGAGUAACUGUUCACGUUUCGACGGUAUCUAACCAGAAAGCCACGGCUCACUACGUCCCAGCAGCCGCGGUAAUACAUGGGUGGCAAGCGUUGUCCGGAUUUAUGGGGCGUAAAGGGAACGCAGGCGGUCUUUUAAGUCUGAUGUGAAAGCCUCCGGCUUAACCGGAGUCGGGCAGUGGAAACUGGGAGACUUGAGUGCAGAAGAGGCGAGUGGAACGCCAUGUGUAGCGGUGAAAUGCGUAGAUAUAUGGAAGAACACCAGUGGCGAAAGCGGCGCUCUGGUCUGUAACUGACGCUGAGGUUCGAAAGCGUAGGUAGCAAACAGGAUUAGAUACCCCUGUAGUC